rnacentral:rRNA from 1 species
GACGAACGCUGGCGGCGUGCUUAACACAUGCAAGUCGAGCGGUAAGGCCCUUUCGGGGGUACGACGAGCGGCGAACGGGUGAGUAACACGUGGGUGACCUGCCCUCCAGCUCUGGGAUAAGCCUGGGAAACUGGGUCUAAUACCGGAUAUGACUCCAUGACGCAUGUUGUGGGGUGGAAAGCCUUGUGCGGCUGAGGAUGGGCCCGCGGCCUAUCAGCUUGUUGGUGGGGUGAGGCCUACCAAGGCGACGACGGGUAGCCGGCCUGAGAGGGCGACCGGCCACACUGGGACUGAGACACGGCCCAGACUCCUACGGGAGGCAGCAGUGGGGAAUCUUGCGCAAUGGGCGAAAGCCUGACGCAGCGACGCCGCGUGAGGGAUGACGGCCU